rnacentral:rRNA from 1 species
GACGAACGUUGGCGGCGUGCUUAACACAUGCAAGUCGAACGGAAAGGCCCUGCUUUUGUGGGGUGCUCGAGUGGCGAACGGGUGAGUAACACGUGAGUAACCUGCCCUUGACUUUGGGAUAACUUCAGGAAACUGGGGCUAAUACCGGAUAGGAGCUCCUGCUGCAUGGUGGGGGUUGGAAAGUUUCGGCGGUGGGGGAUGGACUCGCGGCUUAUCAGCUUGUUGGUGGGGUAGUGGCUUACCAAGGCUUUGACGGGUAGCCGGCCUGAGAGGGUGACCGGCCACAUUGGGACUGAGAUACGGCCCAGACUCCUACGGGAGGCAGCAGUGGGGAAUAUUGCACAAUGGGCGGAAGCCUGAUGCAGCAACGCCGCGUGCGGGAUGACGGCCUUCGGGUUGUAAACCGCUUUCGCCUGUGACGAAGCGUGAGUGACGGUAAUGGGUAAAGAAGCACCGGCUAACUACGUG